GAUGAAGACGUAGCGAAAUGCGAUAACUAAUGUGAAUUGCAGAAUUCCGUGAAUCAUCGAGUCUUUGAACGCACAUUGCGCCCCCUGGUAUUCCGGGGGGCAUGCCUGUCCGAGCGUCAUUGCUGCCCAUCAAGCACGGCUUGUGUGUUGGGUCCCGUCCCCCUCUCCCGGGGGACGGACCCGAAAGGCAGCGGCGGCACCGCGUCCGGUCCUCGAGCGUAUGGGGCUUUGUCACCCGCUCUUGUAGGCCCGGCCGGCGCUUGCCGACACCCAACCAUUUUUUUCAGGUUGACCUCGGAUCAGGUAGGGAUACCCGCUGAACUUAAGCAUAUCAAUAAGCGGAGGA
rnacentral:misc_RNA from 1 species